rnacentral:lncRNA from 1 species
GAAAUAAAGGUACGUGGAGACUCUAGAGACUUCAAGGCCAUGUAAUAUCAACAGAUGCAGAGGUGAAUACACCCAGAAGAGGCCCUCUCUUCAUAUACCACCAUGUCACUGUUCUGCGGGCACUGUCUAGGCUUUAUUGUGAAACUCUGAACGACUCUGAGGUUACAUGUAAGUAAUUUAGACUUCCUAAGGCAAAGUUGCGUUUGUUCUUUUUUUGUUUGUUUUUUUCAAACUUCUGAGAAAUAGACUCCAUCUCCUGUUCUUGAAGAGAUGGAACAGGGGAAAUGGACUUCCACUGAUCUUAGAAGCAGCUUUAAAUGAUGUUGCUCUCUUUCAGCUAUCUGUUUUUGAAAUGUAGCAGUCAGAAAAUUCUUUUAGUCCUGAAGAGGUUGGGGCCUCUCAGUGCACUCAGCAUUUGUCUUUCAGUGGUCAGUGUGAUUGUACACAGCAUAUUAUUCAAUCCCUGGCUGCGCCCAAGAACAGAAAACAACCAAGCAGAGUCUCCCAGUGAACAUAAAGUCUGUCCAUGGCAAGUUAUUUCAUCUGAUAAAAACAAUUUAGUAUAUUUAAUCAAAAUUAUAUUACAUUCAGAUAUUCAUAAAGUCCUUAAUAUCAUCAUCUAGGGGCAAACCAUGGUGUAAUGCAUUAAACAUGAGUGAAUAUCAAACUAAAUAGGUAGUUUUCAUAAAAAUGUUAGAAAAAAAUAGCAUGUAAAGAUGCUUCCAACUAGUUUUCAAUGUGUGAAAAUAAACAAUUUGUAAGAGAAAUAGUGUCUUUUAGCCAAAUUAGAUUCUGCCCAAUAUUAUUAUUUUAAUGGAUGAAUAAAAAUGCUUUGGUGUCUGGGCAUGUAGAUUUAAAAUGAUGAUGAAAUACAGGUAUUUUCACAAUAACAAUGAAGAGAUAUUUCAGGCCUAUAAAUCAUUAAAUAUUGAAUACCAAUUUUACAACUCAGUAAAAACAAUAGAAAUCCUUAAAAACAAGUAGUUAAAAGAGGCUUGCACUACAGUGAUUGAAAUAAUUGAUUUUUUUCAUAUUUUUUUACAGUAUCUAUGAGGCAUUUCAAUUUUUGUUUUAAUUUUCAUAAUUUCUUUAUUCUUCUAAUGAGGACAUUAUUUCCCUUCUUAAACAGAGAAAACAAUUUCUUGUUUUGAAAAUUACUGUGAAAAGAACCCAUGUUUUUCAAAUAAAAUUUUUUGUGGAUCACUAUUGUAUAAAAGAAUUAAAAAUAAUCUUUAUUAUGGAAUUUAUAAUACUUAUUAUGGAAUUUAUUAUGGAAUCAUUUAGAGGCCAACCGUGGUGUAAUGCAUUAAAAUUAGUGAAUAUCAAACUAAUGUACUUUAUGAGUUCAAUAAUAUUAUAAGGGGGGUUCUAGUAAUUUACAUAUAUUAUAUUUGGGUAUAUAACUUUUCAAAUCAUCAAAAGAAAGGGGUAGCAAACUAAGCAACAGAUAACAACACCAUGCUAUUUUAGACUCUGAUGGGGUUCAACAGAACCCUGUCCCAGAACAAGGGCAGAACUACACAUGCGCAGUGCUGAUGGGAGCAAGUGCACCCGUCCUUUUCGAACGGCGGCUCUCAAAACCUAGAAGCUUCCUUCUCAUAGAUGAAAUCACUGAACAAUUCCUGGUAGAUUUAACAGUUGUUUUCUUUACAUAGGUGUUUCCACCUAAGUGUAAGAUUGUUUAACUUACUUCUACCUGGCCUUGAGUCACCAGAAAUUAAAAAUGAGAGAACCUCUAUGUAUUCAUCUAAAAAUUACUAUAUAUUUAACAUCUGUCCAACGCUGCAUUUGAGAAUGAAAUAAAUGAAUAUAUUUUAAUAGUAGCAUAGGUUUUUGUGACUCUUAAGACUACGGCAUUCAAUUUGAUUUUAUAAAAUGUGAGACUAAAUAGCGUAGUAUUGACUCAUUAAUAAAGGUUUUUAUACUAUAUGAGGCAAUAGAUAAAUCAUAUCAGUAAAUCGUUUCUCUGUUCACAGUUAUUUAAAUAAGUAUUAAUGCAUAUGGAUACUUUCCUGAGGGUGUUAUAUGUAAAAAUUACAUACCAGAUUUCUUGAUGAUGCCUUAUAAACAUUAUUGUGACAAGUAUGUAAGAUAUGACUAAGCAUCAGAACUAUGAAUUAUUUUUAUUAUUCACAAAGUUAGUCCAGUUUAAUAGAAAAACAUUGUAACUGGAGCAGAGCAAUCAAUAUUGGCUGAAUAAAUGGACAAAACAUAAUUUGCUUUGGACUGGCAAAUCAUUCCAAAAUCAUCAAUGUCAUCAUCAUAAUCUACAGCAAUAAUAGAUGUAGAAUAAAUUAGUAAAUCAAUAUAAUGCCUAAGAAUGUUUUUGUUAGAUAUUGUGUAAAAAAUAUAUAACUUUUAUAGGGUAAAUGAAACAUUAACAGAUCUAAUAGAGCAUAGAUUUGGAGGUAAAGUAUCUUAGUAUAUUGAGAAUUUCUGUGAUAAACAAAUAGCUUUUAUUAAUUAGAAGGAAAGGACAAAAAUUAAUAAAACAUGAGCAAAAGGAGUAAAUUCUGAGAAAUUUUAUGAAAGAGGAAAUCCAAAUAGCUAACAAUCAUAUGAAAAGGUAUUCAAAUGCAGUGGCAGUCAGGGAAACACAAAUCAAAGAAAGAAUGAUAUAUCAAUUUAUAUACGUUUUAGGAGAAAUUUAAGUGUUUUUGGCAUGGAUGUGAGGAAGCCAGCAUUCUCAUAAAAUGCUACAAGAUGUGAGAGUUAGAAGUUUUAAAAAAGCCAGUUCAUUGCCAUGUGUUGCAAUUAACUAUGAAAUGAUGUAAAUAAUUUUUGACCUGUCCAUCUUACUUCUAGGAAUCUAUACCUCAGAAAUAAAAACUAUUAGAACUCAAUCACAAGGGGUAUGUAUGGUAAAUUUAUUUGUAGGAGCACAAGUGAAACACCUGAACACAAACACAUUCAUCAAAACCAAAAAGACUUAGGGAAUAUCCACAACAUUCACACUGCAGAAUAAAAGGCUGCCAUUACAAAGAAUAAAUUGCAAAUACAUCAAUUAUAAAUUUUGUACCAGAUGUUGAAUGAGGAAAAAAGUCAGAAAAUAGGUAUAUGAUAAGACCUGUUUUGUUAAACAAACUGACAAAAAUGUUGUUGGUGUGUGUGUCAUUAAAUAAAUUUGGUGAAGAAUUAUGAAGGCUGUUAGCACAGAUUACAAACAGGGCAGUGAGGUAAAAGAAGGAUGUUUUUUGUUUGGGAGGAAAAUAAUGAGAAAGAAUCAGAUGUAUAAGAAUAUGUAUAAUCUGGUCAGUUAAUCUAGUUAUGUCAACUUUUCUGUAAAUAUAUAGGCAAGAAUUUUUUUAAAACAAUGUAGAAAACUUGUACCAGAUUGAUGGAGUUUGAAGAAUAUCUCUGAUAGAUUUGAAGUAUAUAUUUGCUUCUAAUCCUUUAUGAAUUUCGUAAACCCCUCUUUUGGUUUUCUUAUGAAUCUGCGUAACUAUGAAUAUAAAAAGAUAAUAUUAAACCUCAUUUUGUGGCAAUUAUGUUGAGUCAUUGGAUUUGAGAAUAUUAAACUUUCUGACCAUUUGUUUAAUUCAGGAUUGGGAUUCCUUUUGCUGUCUUUUAGCAUAAUAAUUCUCAAAAUCUAAAGCAUUCAUAGGCUAGAAUAUUUUUAACCAGAAGACAGACGAUAUUAUUAAUAAUAGUACUCUACUAGACUAUUACAGUCAAACAGAUGGGAAAGAAUAAUUUAAAUUACAGUUUUAUAAACAAUUUUUCUUUUGCCCUCAUUCAGAAUAUCUCCAAAACUUGGGACGGUUGACUAGUUUUAACACUGUAUAUAAGAAAACCUGAAUUCUGAUUUCCUUUCUACUAGUAGCCAGCUGUGAACUUGAAUUCUGAUUUUUCUUCUACUAUAACUAGAUAUUUAGGUCAAUUUAUUUUUCACAUUUAUUGAGCAGGAUCACUAAAACUUAAGCUGCAUAAGUUCACAGAGUCUUUGGGAUGUGGCAUUUUGAAAAUGAAGAGAAAUCUGAUAUAGUUCUCAUUAAAGAAGUCAUCAUAAUUAGUCAUAAAAAUAAAAGUAGAAAAUAUAUUUUUAUAUAGCAGAAUGAGAUAUUUGUAUUCAAAUAGUAUGCUAGGAAAAGGUGAUUUUUAAAUAUGUUUUACAGAAAAAAGAUGAUCUAUAAUAUUUUAUAAUGUAUGUUAUGUAAAGCACAAUUUCUUGGGAUGUUAUUAGACAUUUAUGGCGGAGAAACAGUCGUUUGUGAUCAAAUAUAUUUAUAGUAAACCCUGAGUAGAUCCAUAUUGAAUAGGCAUCAUUUUUGUAGGAUUUCUCUGAAUUUUUAUUAUGCUUACAAUUUCUGUAACUUUCUCAAAGGAGGAUAGAGGAUGUACUUUACAAAUAUGUUUUAUGGCCAAUUUUUUUUCCUCCAAGAAUUUCCAGGCUAAGCAAUUUUUGUGUGUGUGUUUUUUUUAAGGCCACACUUGCAGCAUAGGGAAGUUCCCAGUAUAGGGGUCCAAUCUGAGGCUGCAGCUGCUGGCCUACACCACAGCCACAGUAAGCCAGAUGUGAUCCAUGCCUGUGACCUACACCACAGCUCACUGCAAUGCCAGAUCUGUAACACAUUGAGCAAGGCCAGGGAUUGAACCCACAUCCUCAUGGAUACUAGCCGGGUUCAUUACAGCUGAGCCACAAAGGGAACUCAAAGCAUUUUUUUUGAAAAUGACGUGUAGGGAAAUGUUGAGCAAGAUGUGACAUUCUCAAAGUAAAAUUAAAUAAAUAAAAAUAAGCCAACAAAAAUUUUUUUAAAGACUGAAAAUCCUAAAUGAUUUCCUUAUUUAAAAAUAAUUAUUUCUGGAGUUCCGAUUGUGGUGCAGUGGUUAACGAAUCCGACUAGGAACCAUGAGGUUGCGGGUUUGAUCCCUGGCCUUGCUCAGUGGGUUAGGGAUCCGGCGUUGCCGUGAGGUGUGGUGCAGGUUGCAGAUGCGGCUUGGAUCCUGUGUUACUGUGGCUCUGGCAUAGGCCGGUGGCUACAGCUCCAUUAGACCCCUAGCCUGGGAACCUCCAUGUGCUGCAAGAGUGACCCAAGAAAUG